GCGGCCCAGGCCCGGUGGAGCCGGAGCGGCGCGGCCCCGUCAUGAGCCGGCCGCCGGCCCUGCAGGCGCAGACCUGCGGCCCCUGGGAGAUGAAGGAGCGCCUCGGCACCGGUGGCUUCGGGAACGUUAUUCGCUGGCACAACAAGGAGACCGGCGAGCAGGUGGCCAUCAAGCAGUGCCGGCAGGAGCUGAGCCCCCGCAACCGCGACCGCUGGGCGCUGGAGAUACAGAUCAUGAAGAGGCUGAACCAUCCCAAUGUGGUGGCUGCCCGUGAUGUCCCUGAAGGGAUGCAGAAGCUUGCACCAAACGACUUGCCAUUGCUGGCCAUGGAGUACUGCCAAGGCGGAGACCUCCGCAAGUACCUGAAUCAGCUGGAGAAUUGCUGUGGCUUGCGGGAAGAAGCUAUUCUCAUCUUGUUAUCUGAUAUUGCUUCUGCUCUCAGGUACCUUCAUGAGAACAGGAUUAUCCACAGAGACUUGAAACCAGAGAACAUUGUGCUGCAGCAGGGAGAGCAAAGGUUAAUACACAAGAUCAUUGACCUUGGUUAUGCUAAGGAGUUGGAUCAGGGUAGUCUGUGCACAUCCUUUGUUGGGACUCUACAGUACUUGGCUCCAGAGCUGCUGGAACAGCAGAAAUACACGGUGACAGUGGAUUACUGGAGCUUUGGCACACUGGCUUUCGAGUGCAUUACAGGAUUCCGGCCAUUCCUACCCAACUGGCAGCCAGUGCAAUGGCACACAAAGGUACGACAGAAGAGUGAGCUGGAUAUUGUCGUUUACGAAGACUUAUCUGGAGAAGUCAAAUUUUCUAGUAGUUUACCCUGCCCGAACAAUCUAAACAGUGUUUUGGCUGGGAGGCUGGAGAAAUGGCUGCAACUCAUGUUAAUGUGGCACCCACGGCAGAGAGGUACAGAUCCUACUUAUGGACCCAAUGGGUGUUUCAAAGCUUUGGAUGACAUUUUGAACUUGAAGUUGCUUCAUGUUUUGAACAUGGUUACGGGAACUGUGCACACCUACCCUGUGACAGAGGAGGAGACUCUGCAGAGUGUGAAGGCCAGGAUCCAGUUAGAUACGGGUAUCCCAGAACAGGACCAGGAGCUCCUGCAGGAAGCUGGACUUGCAUUGUUCUCUCAGAAGUUGGCCACUAAACAUACAGCUGAUAGCAAGGUGAAUGACACUGCAGCUGCAGACACAGACCUCCUCUUCCUCUUCGAUAACCAGAAGGUUACCUAUGAGGCUCAGGUUGCCUUGCGUCCUCAUCCAGAAAGCGUUGACUGCAUCCUUCAGGAUCCAAAGAGGAAUCUCCACUUUUUCCAGUUGCGGAAGGUGUGGGGUCAGAUCUGGCACACGAUCCGGAUGCUGAAGGAGGACUGUAACCGGCUUCAGCAGGGGCAGCGAGCAGCCAUGAUGAAUCUGUUGCGUUACAAUAGUACCCUCUCGAAGAUGAAGAAUUCUAUGGCAUCCCUAUCCCAGCAGCUGAAAGCAAAGCUGGACUUCUUUAAAACAAGCAUUCAGAUCGAUCUGGAGAAGUACAAAGAGCAGAUUGAAUUUGGCAUUACUUCUGAGAAGCUGCUCUUUGCCUGGAAGGAGAUGGAGCAAGCUGUAGAACUCUGUGGGCGGGAGGAUGAUGUGGAUCAGCUAGUGAAGAAGAUGAUGGCCCUGCAGACAGACAUUGUGGACCUGCAGAGAAGCCCACUAGGUCGUAAACAAGGAGGAACACUGGAGGAUUUAGAAGAACAAGCCAGAGAGCUGUACCGGAGACUGAGAGAGAAGCCAAGAGAUCAGAGGACAAGCGGUGACAGCCAAGAAAUAGUACGACUGCUCCUACAGGCAAUCCAGAGCUUUGAAAAGAAAGUCCGAGUCAUUUAUGCUCAGCUGAGUAAAACCGUAGUUUGCAAGCAGAAGGCACUGGAGUUGUUCCCCAGAGUGGAGAAAGUGAUGAAUCUCAUGAAUGAAGAUGAGGAAACAGUUGUUCGGCUGCAGGAGAAACGCCAGAAAGAGCUGUGGAACUUGCUGAAAAUUGCUUGUAGUAAAGUACGUGGUCCCGUUACUGGCAGUCCAGAGAGCAUGAACACAUCACGUCUUGGUAGUCCUGGUCACCUGCUGCUGCAGGUCCCUUCUGGAACCUACAACUUAUCAGAAUCCGUCAGGAAAAGUGAGGAACUACUGCUGGAAUCACAGAAACUCUGUAGCCAACUAGAAAAUGUGAUGCAUGACACAAUGAAGGAUCAGGAGCAGAGCUUCAUGGCUCUAGAUUGGAGCUGGCUGCAGCUUCAGGUAGAAGAAACAAACAGUCCACAACAAACCCAGAUGUAAAAUCACUUCGGCUGCCUUUGAAGACAUGCUACUUCAGGAAGGCAACUGUGAAAAGCUGCUGCCUCUGAGAAGGGAAGUUCAAGUCCCUCCUACUUUCACCUACUGCUUAUGUGAUACACGUGGCCUAGCUUUUAGUAACCACCGCUUGGACACUUUUUUCCACAAAGAGACAGUAGGAAAUGCCUGUUCUAAAGUGCUUGGAAAAAGUUCUGAAUCGUGCCUUAAGACAGCAGUGUUCUUAUCAUGGACUAUUGGACAAAGACUGCAAAUCACUUUAUGUAUGUGGAUCAUACAGCAGAUUAAGAGUUAUCGACACAGUCAAACUUAAUGACACGAUGAUAACAUGACUAAAAACAAUGGAACAGUUUAUGAACACCACCACGCACCACAGAAAACCUUGCUAGACAAAGCAAUAAAGAACCAACAUGCCAAAACAGUCACUAUUCUUACCAGCUGGAUAAACAUCCAACAGGAAAGGUUGCAUGGAAAAGAAAAAGCCCAUUUUAGAACUUAAUACAGUUGUUGAUGUUCUGUCACAUUCAGAAGACAGGAUAAUUAACCAUUAGCAUAUUAUUUGAGAAUAAAAACUUCCAGCCAGGAAAACUAUGCAUAUCGUGACAUGUCAAUAACUGGUAGCAGUCACAGUAUAAAGACUACAUAGUUCCUCGUGCCUACAUGUUCCUGGUGCAAGCAAUCCAUCAAAAGCUCAAUUGAGACAGAAUACAGUAAUACAAAAGGAAUGACUUGCACCAUUUGCAUGAUAAGAAUGCAAGAGAAGGAGGGAGCUAAGGCAAAUAAGGUUAUGAAGUAAGCUGAAAAGCAGCACAGCUUAUCAGCCACAACAGCAUCAAGUGGUAGCACACACAGACCUGAGACUCAGUGCAAGAAUAACCUUACGUAGUAAACAGUAUAUGAAGACCAAAAUUAAGAAAUCCAUUCUUGGUUUUGCCAGCCCUCUUGUGAAAUCAGGAGGAAGCUCCACUUCUCCAUCAUUGAAGUGGCGUUCAUAGUAUUUUCUAGUUACCUUAAGUGCUAAAUCUUAAUUAAUAUCUAUAAAAUGCUCUCAAAUUCUACAUAAAGGGUACAGCAGAAGAACUGUUUAGUUUUCAUGAAGUCUCAUAUUGUAAGCACAGUGGAGAUGAGUGAAAAUUAAGUUAAACCAUGGCUCUUAUUUGUCUCUUUGCCUUUCGGAUAAAAGGUCAGUCUGGACUCCAAAUCUUAUAAAACCAACAUCUGCAGAGAAACUCAACUGCAUUCAGAAGCAGAAAUGAGAGCUAUUGAGGGUGAAGAAACAGUUAUGUUUGGGACGUGGCAAUGGGAACGGGGAAGAAAGCAACCUGCUCGCAACAAAAUGCACGCUGCAGGAAAAGAAGGACCACUCCAUCAGUUCCACACCAGUACAGGUUUUAAAAUGAGAA